UACGAAGGGGGCUAGCGUUGUUCGGAAUUACUGGGCGUAAAGCGCACGUAGGCGGAUAUUUAAGUCAGGGGUGAAAUCCCGGGGCUCAACCCCGGAACUGCCUUUGAUACUGGGUAUCUCGAGUCCGAGAGAGGUGAGUGGAAUUCCGAGUGUAGAGGUGAAAUUCGUAGAUAUUGGGAAGAACACCGGUGGCGAAGGCGGCCAACUGGACCACAACUGACGCUGAGGCGCGAAAGCGUGGGGAGCAAACAGG
rnacentral:rRNA from 1 species